UACGUAGGGCGCAAGCGUUGUCCGGAAUUAUUGGGCGUAAAGAGCUCGUAGGCGGCCUGUUGCGUCCGCUGUGAAAUCCCGGGGCUCAACCCCGGGCCUGCAGUGGAUACGGGCUGGCUAGAGGCAGGCAGGGGAGAACGGAAUUCCUGGUGUAGCGGUGAAAUUCGUAGAUAUUCGGAAGAACACCAGUGGCGAAGGCGACUUACUGGACACAUAUUGACGCUGAGGUGCGAAAGCGUGGGGAGCAAACAGG
rnacentral:rRNA from 1 species